GCCGUCGUGGCUUAGUGGUAGAGCGGCCGCCUCGUAAGCGGCAGGUCGAGGGUUCAAUCCCCUCCGACGGCU
rnacentral:tRNA from 1 species